AUCAACAGCAACCGGUGGCUUCGGAAUAUCAGCAGAAAGAGGUGGCUUUGGCACUUGUGUUUUAUCAAGAAAAGGGUGCUCGAAAUUGGGUUCAAAUGUCGUAGAUUGAUAGAAGAAGAGCCUAAAAGAAAGACCCAUCAAGAGAAUGGCAACUGCUAGCUUGAAUAGCCAAUAGUUGCCAUUCUCUUGUAACCUCCAAAUUAACUUCAUUUCCCUUCACUGCUGUGCUUUGCUCAAGCUCCCUCUGGAUUUCAAAGAUCUUUG
rnacentral:misc_RNA from 1 species